CCACGGGUGAGUAACACGUAUCCAACCUGCCGUCUACUCUUGGCCAGCCUUCUGAAAGGAAAGAUUAAUCCAGGAUGGGAUCAUGAGUUCACAUGUCCGCAUGAUUAAAGGUAUUUUCCGGUAGACGAUGGGGAUGCGUUCCAUUAGAUAGUAGGCGGGGUAACGGCCCACCUAGUCAACGAUGGAUAGGGGUUCUGAGAGGAAGGUCCCCCACAUUGGAACUGAGACACGGUCCAA
rnacentral:rRNA from 1 species